UACAGAGGUCUCAAGCGUUGUUCGGAUUCAUUGGGUGUAAAGGGUGUGUAGGUGGCGCUGUAAGUCGGGUGUGAAAUUUCGGAGCUUAACUCCGAAACUGCAUUCGAUACUGCGGUGCUUGAGGACUGGAGAGGAGACUGGAAUUCAUGGUGUAGCAGUGAAAUGCGUAGAUAUCAAGCGGAACACCAGUGGCGAAGGCGAGUCCCUGGACAACUCCUGACACUGAGGCACGAAAGCUAGGGGAGCAAACAGG
rnacentral:rRNA from 1 species